AUGGAAAAGAAAGGAAAAGAGAUUUGAUUUCUGUGGCUGAGAACCACUCCAACAGAAGAUUUUGUGAAGAAUGAGGUUGAAGCUAUUAGUACAAGUUAGAAAAAAAAAUCUAGUUCUAAGACCUGCAGAAGAAAGACCUGAACUUCAGAGGGGACCACAAAUGAAUAUGAAUUAAGAACGGGGUUCUCUUUUCAAAAGCCAACACAAAAUGAGGACAUGUUUUAUGUAAAAGCAGCUCUUCUUGCCAGUGGGCUUCCACGUGUCCUUCUUUCAUAUAUCACAGCCAGACCUAGGAAAUUCCCUGGGAAGUGCGCUCCACCACAGUGCCUGCAGUUUCUCCAUUUGACUGGGAUUCUGUUGCACCUUGAGAGUUUUUUUUUUUUUUUUUUUGAUGUUUGGGAAGCUGUUACCACAAAAAAGCCCUUCCUGCAGUGAGGAAAUAGCAUGGUACCCAGAAAGACGAAGGGAGUGGACUGGGAAAUGGAAAUCUGGGUCCAUUUCCCUCCUACCAGUACCAGCCUGGUGGCUUUAGAAGAAUUCUGUGUGUUUUUCCUGGCCUCAGUGGCUUCAUCUGUAAAAUGGAACAGUGUGGACAUGAAAGUGAAAACAUCUGCCAUUGUAACUAUAAAUGUUUAAGAAACGAGUCCUGCGUACCUGCCUCCUUCAGUUUUCCAUCUGUAAGGUACCACUGUAUUGGGUGCUUGCUAUUUGUGGAGCAAAAAGAAUGCUGAAGCAAGAAGUCAGCCUCGAAGGGGUGCUGUUCAGAGCCAAUUUACAAUUAUGAAGGAAGCCAGAUUGAAGAAAAUGCCAAAAAGUACAAAAGGGAAGGCCAAACUGAAAGAAUUUCAGAACAUCAGAGUCUGGGCCAUGAUGCACCCAGGCUUCAUGAUAUAUGAGAGAUGUUCACUGUGCCCUCAAGUGGAUUCUUCUCCACCAAUCCAAAAUUUUAUCCCAGGAGAUACCAGCAAUCAUUUGCAGGAGAUAUUGAUCAACCAGAGAAUGCACAUUUCUGAACCAGAGUCUGAGAAGCCCUAUGUGCCACAAGUCCUCUGUCUGCCCCCGGCCACUGCCAGCAUCACGAGGCCAGGUGAGCUUUGUUCUCUAUCGUAUUCAUGGGUUCUGCUACUACGCCUAAUGAAGAGGUGCCUCAUGAACCUUGAGUCAAAAUAAGCAGUGGAUGGAUAUCUUUGUUAACAUCUUGUUCUUGCUUAGCUUACCUGCUCUGAUGUGUCUGAAUUUCUCUCCUCUCCUGUGUCUCUUCAUGACCUCCUUUGCUUGCUUCUUUCUUGCCCUACUGUCAGCAUCUCUCAGUUCCUUCUUUCUCUCCCAACCCUUGAAUGUGUAAACUUCUUAGGCUUCAGCCCUGAGCCCUCUGCCUCUCUCUUUCCACACCCACUC
ensembl:lncRNA